AGGGGAUUAGCUCAGUUGUUAGAGUGCUUGCUUAGCAUGCGAGAAUUAGCGGGAUCGAUGCCCGCAUCCUCCA